AAAUUCAAGAGUUUGAUCCUGGCUCAGAAUGAAUGCUAGUAAUAGGCCUAACACAUGCAAGUUGAGCGAUAUAAGCAGCGAACGGGUGCGUAAAGCGUAAGUAUUUACCUAAUAAUUCUGUGUCAUCUUUUUGUCGGAAUGACCUCCGAAGAAAUCAAUCCAGAAAAGAAGAAUCGUUAUUGGAGAAGCUUGCGUAGGAUUAAGUCGUUGGUGAGAUAACAGCUUCACCAAGCUAAAGAUCCUUAGUUGGUCUGAGAGGACGAUCAGCCACACUGGGACUGAGACACGGCCCAGAUUCUUUCGAGAAGCAGCAGUGAGGAAUAUUGGACAAUAGGCGAAAGCUUGAUCCAGCCAUAUUACGUGAGGGAGGAAGGCCUUUUUAGGUUGUAAACUUCUUUAAAAAAUUAUCGUUAUACGAGUUUUUUUACAAAAAGUCCCGGCUAAAUCUGUGCCAGCAGCCGCGGUAAUACAGAUGGGACAAGUGUUAUUCGGAAUGACUGGGCGUCAAGGGUACGUCGGCGGUUUUUUAGGAUAGUUGUCCCAAGCUUUUGAAAAAGCAAAGCAACUAAAACAAAAAAACUCGAGUAUGGAAGAGGAGAGCGGAAUUUUGAGUGAAGAGCUAAAAUUCGCAGAUAUUCAAAGGAACACCGAAAACGAAGGUAGCUCUCUGGUUCUAACAUACUGACGCUCAUGUACGAAAGCAUGGGGAGUGAAUGGGAUUAGAUACCCCAGUAAUCCAUGCUGUCAACGAUGAGUGUUCACUCCAUUUUAUUGUGGGGUUUAGCUAACGCGUUAAACACUCCGCCUGGGGAGUACGGCCGCAAGGUUGAAACUCAAAGGAAUUGCCGGGGAUUCGUACAAGCGGUGGAUUAUGUGGUUUAAUUCGAAACAACGCGCAAAACCUUACCAUCCCUUGCAUACACGAAGUGUACCUUUCUUAAAAAGAGGUUUGAAUCGUGAACAGGUGCUGCAUGGCUGUCGACAGUUCGUGUGGUGACACGUCGGGUUAAUUCCUAUAACGAGCGAAACCCCUUUUUUUGGCAACAAAAACACUGCCGAUGAUAGAUCGGAGGAAGGUAGGGAUGACGUCAAGUCCUCAUGGCCCUUAUGGGAUGGGCUAUCACACGUAAUACAAUGGCGAGGUUAAUUAGAUGCAAUGGUGCGAGCCAGAGCGAAGCUAAAACUUUUUCCAUGUUCGGAUUUGUCUCUGAAACUCGAGACAAUGAAGCUGGAAUCGCGAGUAAUCUUGGAUGAGUAUGCCAAGGUGAAACUGUACUCGAGUCUUGGACACCUUGCCUGUCAAGUCCUGGAAGUAAUUUUCGGUCUAAAAAUUUAGAAGCUUUCAAAUCGAAACUCUUUGAGAAUAGUAACAAAAGAUGCUAAAUCAAUCUCGUUUCUUGAAAGUAAACGGUUUCAAAUCGAAUUUCAUAACUGGGACUAAGUCAUAACAUGGUCGUGGUUGGGGAACCAGUCGCGGGAUCGACUAUCAU
rnacentral:rRNA from 1 species